UGGGGAAUCUUGGACAAUGGGGGCAACCCUGAUCCAGCCAUGCCGCGUGAGUGAUGAAGGCCCUAGGGUUGUAAAGCUCUUUCAACGGUGAAGAUAAUGACGGUAACCGUAGAAGAAGCCCCGGCUAACUUCGUGCCAGCAGCCGCGGUAAUACGAAGGGGGCUAGCGUUGUUCGGAUUUACUGGGCGUAAAGCGCACGUAGGCGGAUCGUUAAGUGAGGGGUGAAAUCCCAGGGCUCAACCCUGGAACUGCCUCUCAUACUGGCGAUCUGGAGUUCGAGAGAGGUGAGUGGAAUUCCGAGUGUAGAGGUGAAAUUCGUAGAUAUUCGGAGGAACACCAGUGGCGAAGGCGGCUCACUGGCUCGAUACUGACGCUGAGGUGCGAAA
rnacentral:rRNA from 1 species